UACGUAGGGCGCAAGCGUUGUCCGGAUUUAUUGGGCGUAAAGAGCUCGUAGGCGGUCUGUCGCGUCGGCUGUGAAAACCCGAGGCUCAACUCCGGAUCUGCGGUGGGUACGGGCAGACUAGAGUGAUGUAGGGGAGACUGGAAUUCCUGGUGUAGCGGUGAAAUGCGCAGAUAUCAGGAGGAACACCGAUGGCGAAGGCAGGUCUCUGGGCAUUAACUGACGCUGAGGAGCGAAAGCAUGGGGAGCGAACAGG
rnacentral:rRNA from 1 species